GCCGGCAUGUCGGAAUGGCAGACGAGGCAGACUCAAAAUCUGCUGAUCGAAAGAUCGUGCGGGUUCAAGCCCCGCUGCCGGUA
rnacentral:tRNA from 1 species